rnacentral:rRNA from 1 species
CUGGCUCAGGAUGAACGCUAGCUACAGGCUUAACACAUGCAAGUCGAGGGCAGCAUGGAGUUGCUUGCAAACUCUGAUGGCGACCGGCGCACGGGUGAGUAACGCGUAUCCAACCUUCCCUAUAGUAGAGGAUAGCCCGGCGAAAGUCGGAUUAAUACUCUAUGUUUUCCGUUGCAGACAUCUAAGAUGGAACAAAGGCUUGCCGCUAUAGGAUGGGGAUGCGUCUGAUUAGGUAGUCGGCGGGGUAACGGCCCACCGAGCCAUCGAUCAGUAGGGUUCUGAGAGGAAGGUCCCCCACAUUGGAACUGAGACACGGUCCAAACUCCUACGGGAGGCAGCAGUGAGGAAUAUUGGUCAAUGGACGAGAGUCUGAACCAGCCAAGUAGCGUGCAGGACGACGGCCCUAUGGGUUGUAAACUGCUUUUAUGCGGGGAUAAAGUUCACUACGUGUAGUGUUUUGUAGGUACCGCAUGAAUAAGGACCGGCUAAUUCCGUGCCAGCAGCUGC